rnacentral:rRNA from 1 species
AUUGAACGCUGGCGGCAGGCUUAACACAUGCAAGUCGAACGAGUGGCGGACGGUUGAGUAAUGCUUGGGAAUCUAGCUUAUGGCGGGGGAUACCUACGGGAACCUUUCGCUACUACCGCGUACCCUAGGAUGAUCCCAAGUGGGAUUAGGUAGUUGGUGAGGUAAAGGCUCACCAAGCCGACGAUCUCUAGCUGGUCUGAGAGGAUGACCAGCCACACUGGGACUGAGACACGGCCCAGACUCCUACGGGAGGCAGAAGUGGGGAAUAUUGCACAAUGGGCGCAAGCCUGAUGCAGCCAUGCCGCGUGUAUGAAGAAGGCCUUCGGGUUGUAAAGUACUUUCAGUCGGGAGGCGGUACCGACAGAAGAAGCACCGGCUAACUCCGUGCCAGCAGCCGCGGUAAUUC